GACAAUGGUUGGUCAUCCGGUCUGUGGUCUAAAUCUACAUGUGGGCCGUCUGAAUCCCCUCACGGUCAGUCGAUCUUGCUGACCUAUCGAUGGCCCGAGUUCACAUCGUUGUUGAAUUUAACGGACGGGACGAAGAUAUUUUAGUUUUCACUGAGAUCGAAAUAGACAAAAUUUAUUUAAUCCCCGUUGGAUUCAAAUUGAUAACACCAUGUUAACAUUAUAAAUUAUUCACACUUUAGCUCUAAGCACCAUUACAUGUGGAAGAAUUAGCAUGACCCCAAUCAACACACAC
rnacentral:lncRNA from 7 species